UGGGGAAUAUUGGACAACGGGCGCAAGCCUGAUCCAGCAAUGCCGCGUGUGUGAAGAAGGCCUUCGGGUUGUAAAGCACUUUUAUCAGGAGCGAAACGCUGUCGGCUAAUACCCGGCGGAACUGACGGUACCUGAGGAAUAAGCACCGGCUAACUUCGUGCCAGCAGCCGCGGUAAUACGAAGGGUGCAAGCGUUAAUCGGAAUUACUGGGCGUAGAGCGUGCGUAGGCGGUUUCUUAAGUCUGCUGUGAAAUCCCCGGGCUCAACCUGGGAAUGGCAGUGGAUACUGGGAGGCUAGAGUGUGUCAGAGGGUGGUGGAAUUCCCGGUGUAGCGGUGAAAUGCGUAGAGAUCGGGAGGAACAUCAGUGGCGAAGGCGGCCACCUGGGACAACACUGACGCUGAGGCACGAAAAGCGUGGGGAGCAAACAGGAUUAGAUACCCUGGUAGUCCACGCCCUAAAACGAUGUCAACUAGUUGUUGGGGGAUUCAUUUCCUUAGUAACGUAGCUAACGCGUGAAGUUGACCGCCUGGGGAGUACGGUCGCAAGAUUAAAACUUAAAAUGAAUUGACGGGGGUCAUAGCUG
rnacentral:rRNA from 1 species